UACGGAGGGUGCAAGCGUUAUCCGGAUUCACUGGGUUUAAAGGGUGCGUAGGCGGGCAGGUAAGUCCGUGGUGAAAUCUCUGAGCUUAACUCAGAAAACUGCCAUGGAUACUAUUUGUCUUGAAUAUUGUGGAGGCAAGCGGAAUAUGUCAUGUAGCGGUGAAAUGCUUAGAUAUGACAUAGAACACCCAUUGCGAAGGCAGCUUGCUACACAAUGAUUGACGCUGAGGCACGAAAAGCGUGGGGGAUCAAACAGG
rnacentral:rRNA from 1 species